rnacentral:rRNA from 1 species
UGGGGAAUAUUGGACAAUGGGCGAAAGCCUGAUCCAGCCAUGCCGCGUGUGUGAAGAAGGUCUUCGGAUUGUAAAGCACUUUAAGUUGGGAGGAAGGGCAGUAAGCGAAUACCUUGCUGUUUUGACGUUACCGACAGAAUAAGCACCGGCUAACUCUGUGCCAGCAGCCGCGGUAAUACAGAGGGUGCAAGCGUUAAUCGGAAUUACUGGGCGUAAAGCGCGCGUAGGUGGUUCGUUAAGUUGAAUGUGAAAGCCCCGGGCUCAACCUGGGAACUGCAUCCCAAACUGGCGAGCUAGAGUAGGGCAGAGGGUGGUGGAAUUUCCUGGGUAGCGGUGAAAUGCGUAGAUAUAGGAAGGAACACCAGUGGCGAAGGCGACCACCUGAGCUCAUACUGACACUGAGAUGCGAAAGCGUGGGGAGCAAACAGG